rnacentral:sRNA from 1 species
GAGAACCAUGUGAUGAUAUAAAGCCGACUAAAGUCUAGGUGUUGGAAGUUGAUAACACUGUAUUUUACUCAUUUUAGGUGUAUGUUUAUCAUCAUUUAGCUAUGCAUUUGCUCAUUGUAUCAUAUCAUUUUGCACCAUUUUAGCUUGUUUUGCAUACUUAGGCAUCUAGGAUCAUCUUGCAUUCGCAUUGCAUGUUUUGGUGUGUUUGCAGGUGCAAAAGGAGCUUAAAAGGACUCUACUCGAUCCAUUCACUCGAUCCAGGCAGCUAUAAAAGAGGCAUCAUUCUACUCGACCUCUUUACUCUAUCCAGGAUGCUACAAAGGAGGCUGCAGUUUACUCGACCCUCCUACUCGAUCAAGGCAACCUUAGAUGAAGCAGCAGAUUGAUCUACUCAACCCUCCUACUCGAUCCACUACUCGAUUCAUUUACUCGACCAAGGGUGACCAUCUUUACAAGACUUGUUGAGCUAUCAAAGCGUCUUUGGAUCCUCCUCAUUCCCCACUCAACCAGACAUCUGAGCAUACGGAUAGGAGAGGAUGAAGCUUCUACUUGACCAAUUGAUCACUCGGAGCAUAGACACAAAGGCGCAGACUUUGCAGCACCCUCUUUACUCAAUCCCCAAGGUCGAGUAUUCGCCAAAACCGCCUCAAGUCUCUUGUCUUCUAAUGAAUCUAG